rnacentral:lncRNA from 1 species
AAGAGACAAGAGAGGAACAUAUACUGGCCACAGUAGUUAGGGAACCUAGGAAGAUAGUACCUGGCAACAGAAGAGAAUUCCUGGCUAAAGAUCGGUGUGCCUAAUACGAAGAAAAAGGACACUGGGUCAGGGACUGCCCAAGAAAGAACAAGAGGGGCCACUGGAGAGCUUCUUGGUCCUAGUGUGCUGGCUAUGUACAGAGAUAGAAGGGAAGUGUGGAUACAGGGACCCAAUGCUCUGUGCUCCUAUGCCCCCCCCCGCAGUGGGUCAAUAUCCAAAGACCUUGAGUGCAAGGGGCUACUGGCAACGAACAAUACUUAUGGACUGCCCGAAGAACAGUGGACCUUGGCGUGGGCCGGGUAACCCACCCACUAGUUCAUGGUCAUCCCUGACUGCCCCUAUCCCUUGCUCAUGAGAAAAUUACUCUCCAAAAUGGCUUGUGUGGGCUAAAAUGGCUGGGUGAGGCCAUGUGUAUGCAUAUCUACAGACUGUGUAUGUGGAGCUUAAGACCUGUCUCAGUGCACCAGUACCUGAUGCUGGGAGAUGUGUGUGUGUGGCUUAGUGCCGUUCUGCCUGGAACACAUCAUUCCUGCUAGCCGGGCUCUGACAAUUAUCACCUAAUCCAGGACUUAAACUUCGGUAGAGUGGCUGAUGUUUUGCCUUUAAAUGAAAUGUCCCAGAGGAUGGGAUCACUGAUCAGCUGACAUGGACUAGAUUCUCUACCUGUUGGGGGCAAUCUGGUCACCUUGCUGCCCAAUCCUGACCUGGAGCCACCACAGCACAAGUGUCAAGCACUGGCAGAAGCCCAUGGGUGGAGGAAAGACCUCUGCGACUGGCUGAUUGACCCCUGCUGAAAGCCGAAGACCUUGUCCACAGACGGAAACAGUUCUCUUCAUGAAGGUCAGAGAUAAGUGGGUGCUGCCGUGGUGGACAACACAAUGUCAUCUGGGAUGGCUGAACUUCUACCCCCCAGCACAUCAGCACUGCAGAUGCCUUUACCAUCUCUUGGAUGCCCUGGUGAAGCCAACAACUGUGAGUACUAUUCGUUGCUCAGGAUAUCAGAAAGAAGAGAUUCAGUGGCAUAGGACAGUAACAAAGCAGAUAAAGUGGCUCAGAAAAUGGCUAUGCAGGAGCCUAUCCUGGUUACAGGCCUACAAGAGACAGCCACUGGGAACUGGGAUUGGACUAAGAGACGGCCUCUACAAUCAUCAAGAAGAUACUGGAAGAAAUCUUCCCCAGGUCUGGAAUGCCCAAGGUAAUCUGGUCAGACAACGGCCCUACUUUCGUUGCCAAGGUAAGCCAGGGUGUGGCCAAGUAUUUAGAGGUCGAUUGGAAAUUACAUUGUAUUUACAGACCUCAAAGUUCAGGACAGGUAGAGUAAAUAAAUAGAACUCUAAAAGAGACCCUAAACAAAUUGACCAUGGAGACUGGCACAGACUGGGUGACACUCCUUCCCUCUCGCUCUCUUCAGAGCAAGAAAUAUCCCUUCCAGAUUCAGCUUUACCCCCUUUGAGAUCUUAUAUGGGGCCUCAGAUCCUCUGACUGUAUUAGAUGAUGUUACUGAACCAACAUGUCAUAGUAAUAAUGAUUUAUGUGUCAGGCUAAAAGACCUACAGGUGACACAGAAAGAAAUCUGCUCACAGCUGGCAGCAGCCUAUGCCCCAGGGACCUCCGAGACAUCUCAUCCGUUCCAGGUCAGAGACUGUAGGUACAUACAAUGACACGGAGCCCAGGACCGUACCUGAUGCUGCUGACCACCCUGACAGCCGUCAAUUCUCAGCCCUCACCAGCCGCAUACUAGCCGUUGGGGCUGAGAGCUGGGACCUAGAGGGACACUCAUAUCUUCAAAAAGCUCCCUAGACUUGCACAUCAGAUAAGUGGAUACAUCAGAGACGUGACUGGGAUGUUGCUAUAAUGCUCACUUGAGGAGUGUGCUUUAGAAACAAGAAUUUCAUGUUUGCCCUGGUUCCAUCGAGAAAAAUAUAGAGAUAGGCUUGAUUUCUAUUACAAAUGAUGUAACAUUACAUAUGUUAAUACUCCUAACACUUCUUGGGACUGUGCCUCAGGGACCAUAAGUUUAAAAGUUCUAAGAUAGUCAUGACCUUGGUGUAUAGGUUUAGAUAGUGUUCAGACUGGAAUCCUAAAGACUUUUUAGCUGACCUCCAAGAAUACCUAACCUUCCUCUCAGAGGUAGUCCUUCAAAAUAGGAGAAGAUUAGACCUGAUAUUCCUUAAAGAAAGAGGGCUAUGUGCUGCUUUGAGAAAAGAAUGUUGUUUUUACCUCGAUCACUCCGGGACCAUUAAAGAUUCUAUGGCUAAACUUAGGGAGAGGUUGGACAAGAGACGACGAGAACGAGAAACCACUAAUAACUGUUUUCAAAGCUGGUUCGAUAGGUCCCCAUGGCUUACCACCCUGCUGUCAGCUUUAGCUGGUCCCUUGAUUAUCCUCCUCCUUUUGCUCACUGUUGGGCCCUACAUCAUUAACCGCCUUUUUGCUUUUAUUAGGGAACGGAUUAGUGCUAUACAAGUCCUUAUGUUGAGACAACAGUAUCGGGCUGUACGGAGUGAAGAGCCACUAGACGCUAGAUUCAUCAUGGAGUCCUAAGAUUAGGACUAUUCACAAGGAGUACAGGGGAAUGAAGGGUUAAAAUUUCUAAAAGUUAGUCAUGAACAAAGUCCAGACAUGCCUGAGAGAAUUUGAGAUAGGGCUCACUGGCCCGACUAUCAACUCCCAAGGACACUGGACAUCUGGAGCCACCCCCUCCCCUUCCUUCACUCCCUGAGGAUGGGUCAUCCCCCUGCUGCAGUGAGAUGAGUUGCCCUGCCC